AGGUCAUGAUGUGGACAUUGUCAUUGAGGGUCUUUGUAUCUUUCCCAAGCUUUAUAUAAUGUUUCAUCUUCCUAUGAAGCAAAGGUAGUGAUAUCAUUCAUAAGCUU